CAAUGGGAUGCGAAUCUCGAAAGCCUGUCUCAGUUCGGAUUGGAGGCUGAAACCCGCCUCCAUGAAGUUGGAUUCGCUAGUAAUCGCGCAUCAGCCAUGGCGCGGUGAAUACGUUCCCGGGCCUUGUACACACCGCCCGUCAAGCCAUGGGAGCCGGGGGUGCCUGAAGUUCGUGACCGCAAGGAGCGACCUAGGGCAAAACUGGUGACUGGGGCUAAGUCGUAACAAGGUAAC
rnacentral:rRNA from 1 species